rnacentral:rRNA from 1 species
UCAGCAGCCGCGGUAAUACGGAGGGGGCUAGCGUUGUUCGGAAUUACUGGGCGUAAAGCGCACGUAGGCGGCUUUGUAAGUCAGAGGUGAAAGCCUGGAGCUCAACUCCAGAACUGCCUUUGAGACUGCAUCGCUUGAAUCCAGGAGAGGUCAGUGGAAUUCCGAGUGUAGAGGUGAAAUUCGUAGAUAUUCGGAAGAACACCAGUGGCGAAGGCGGCUGACUGGACUGGUAUUGACGCUGAGGAACGAAAGCGUGGGGAGCAAACAGGAUUAGAUACCCUGGUAGUCCACGCCGUAAACGAUGAUAACCUAGCUGUCCGGSACUUGGUGCU